AUCAACUAUAUAGAGCUCAAAUAUGGGCAGUUUUAUGAAAAUUGAUGAAAUAGCAGAAGAACAAUGUAUACAAUUUCUGAGAUCUGCGCGACCUAGAUUCACAAGACAAACUGGUCCCAGAUCAGUCAGUGGCCUAUGUAAAUUUUGGGGCGUU